rnacentral:rRNA from 1 species
UUGAUAUUUAGAAUAAGUAGGUUAAUUUUUAUUAUAGGUAAGAAAGAAUUUAAUUAAUUAUAGAGUAGUAGUAUUGUGAGAGAAAUAAUAUAAAAUGUUAGAAGAAGAAUUUAUAUUUUGUACCUUGUGUAUCAGGGUUUAUUGAAUAAUAAUUUUUUAUAAAAUUUUCUCGAAUUUAAAAGAGCUAUUGUAAUAGUUUUUUAAUGUUGAAUAAUUAUUAUUAAUAUUAUAAUAGAUAUGAAAUGUUACUCGUUUUUGAAUAUAUCUAGUUUUUUAAGAAAUAAAUUUAAUUUAGUUUUUUUUAAUAAUAUUUUAUAUUGUUAAAAUAUUAUUGAAAAAAUGAGAUGUUUUAGGGGAUGAGCUUUAAAAUAUAUUUUUAAAAAUUGUAUGAGAGUUUUAGUAUAUAAGUAGGAUUAGAAGUUUUUAUCUUUUUAAGUGUAUUAUAACUAUUUUAUUAAUAAAUAAGAUUUGUAUGAAUUUUAAGUUUUUUAUUAAAAUAUAAUUAUUAAUUUUUAAUGAUUAGAAAUAAUGAUAAAAUUAGUAUAGAUUAGUGUAUUAUUAGAUUUAUAAAUAAAGGUUAAAUAAAGGAAUUUGGCAAAUAAAUUUUUCACCUGUUUAUUAAAAACAUGGCUUUUUGAAUAUAAUUUAAGGUCUAGCCUGCCCAAUGAUUUAAAUAUUAAAUGGCCGCGGUAAUUUGACCGUGCAAAGGUAGCAUAAUCAAUAGUUUUUUAAUUGAAAGCUGGAAUGAAAGGUUGGAUGAGAAAAUAGCUGUCUCUGUUUAAAUUUUUUAGAAUUUUAUUUUUAAGUAAAAAAGCUUAAAUGAAUUUAGAAGACGAGAAGACCCUAUAGAGUUUUAUAUUUAUUUAUUUAAAAGUUUUUAGAAUUUUAUUAUUUUUAUAUAAAUAAGUAUUUUAUUGGGGUGAUUAAAAAAUUGAUUGAACUUUUUUAGAAUUAGUACAUAGAUUAGUGAAUGAUUGAUCCUUAUAUAAAGAUUAUAAGAUAAAAUUACCUUAGGGAUAACAGCGUAAUUUUUUUUGAGAGUUCUUAUCGAAAAAAAGGAUUGCGACCUCGAUGUUGGAUUAAAAUUAAUUUUUGGUGUAGGAGCUGAAGUAAUUAGGUCUGUUCGACCUUUAAAAUUUUACAUGAUCUGAGUUUAAACCGGUGUGAGCCAGGUUGGUUUCUAUCUCUAAAUAAAUAAAUUAUCUUAGUACGAAAGGACUUGAUAAUUAAUUAAUAAUUUAAUGUAAGAGUAAUAGUA